rnacentral:rRNA from 1 species
GACGAACGCUGGCGGCGUGCUUAACACAUGCCAGUCGAACGGAAAGGCGCUGCUCUUGUUGGGUUCUCGAGUGCCGAACGGGUGAGUAACACGCGAGUAACCUGCCCUUGACUGUGGGAUAACUUCUCGAAACUGGGGCUAAUACCGGAUAGGAGCUUCUGCUGCAUGUUGGGGGUUGGAAAGUGUCGGCGGUGGGGGAUGGUCUCGCGGCUUAUCAGCUUGUUGGUGUGGUAGUGGCUUACCAAGGCUACGACGGGUAGCCGGCCUGAGAGGGUGACCGGCCACAUUGGGACUGAGAUACGGCCCAGACUCCUACGGGAGGCAGCAGUGGGGAAUAUUGCACAAUGAGCGGAAGCCUGAUGCAGCAACGCCGCGUGCGGGAUGACGGCCUUCGGGUUGUAAACCGCUUUCGCCUGUGGCGAAGCGUGAGUGACGGUACUGGGUAAGGAAGCACCGGCUAACUACGUG